rnacentral:tRNA from 1 species
CAAGAGCUUAUUUCCCUCCCUACUA